rnacentral:rRNA from 1 species
GAGUUUGAUCUUGGCUCAGGAUGAACGCUAGCGGCAGGCCUAAUACAUGCAAGUCGAACGGUAAAUAUUAUAGCAAUAUGAUAUGAGAGUGACGUACGGGUGCGUAACACGUAUGCAACCUACCCAUAACAGGAGGAUAGCUCCCCGAAAGGGGAAUUAACCCUUCAUAGUAUCACGAGAGGGCAUCUUUUAGUGAUUAAAACUCCGGUGGUUAUGGAUGGGGCAUGCGUCUGAUUAGUUAGUUGGCGGUGUAACGGACCACCAAGACGAUGAUCAGUAGGGGAACUGAGAGGUUGACUCCCCCACACUGGCACUGAGAUACGGGCCAGACUCCUACGGGAGGCAGCAGUAGGGAAUAUUGGUCAAUGGAUGCAAGUCUGAACCAGCCAUGCCGCGUGCAGGAAGAAGGCCCUA